rnacentral:rRNA from 1 species
AUACGGAGGAUGCGAGCGUUAUCCGGAUUUAUUGGGUUUAAAGGGAGCGUAGGUGGGAUAUUAAGUCAGCUGCGAAAGUUUGGGGCUCAACCUUAAAAUUGCAGUUGAUACUGGUUUCCUUGAGUACGGUACAGGUGGGCGGAAUUCGUGGUGUAGCGGUGAAAUGCUUAGAUAUCACGAAGAACUCCGAUCGCGAAGGCAGCUCACCGGGCCGGAACUGACACUGAUGCUCGAAAGUGCGGGUAUCAAACAGGAUUAGAUACCCUGGUAGUCCGCACAGUAAACGAUGAAUACUCGCUGUUUGCGAUACACUGUAAGCGGCCAAGCGAAAGCGUUAAGUAUUCCACCUGGGGAGUACGCCGGCAACGGUGAAACUCAAAUGAAUUGACGGGG